GUCUCACCUUCACCCCCUUUUAAAACAUAUUUAAAAGAAUAAGGAAAUGUUUUCUAUAACUUUCAGAACAUAAUUUUUUAAACAAGAAAAUUAUGUAUCUCUAUUCAAGAAUCUAUAAACUAUUUUUUUCAUUUAGCAAAUAUUCAUUCAAGCAAAUGCUAUAGGCAAGACAUUACUUUAGUCCUUAGUAAAAGAUGCAGAGAUAAACAGGAGCCUUAGGGAGUUCAUAAUCUAGUAGGAGAAAAUAGAAAUGUAAACUAACAAAUAUGUAGAGUGGGUAGUACAGUUAAAGAGAAAUACAGGAUACAGUGCACACUCUGGUAAAAAUCUGCCCUGGGGAUAUCAGGGAGGAAGGACUUGACUGGAAAAAAUGCUUAACUCAGUUUGGUGAGUAUGGGCGAAUGAGGUGAAUAAGGCAGAGGAAGAGAGCCCAGUGCAGAGAGACCAUUUGUAACGGCAGAGGCAUUAAGGAGCAGACCCAGUUGGGGAUCUGCAAGUAGUUUGAUAUGGCUAGAUUUUAUGUUACCAGAGGUGGUAUCACAGGAUUACAUUUUUGAGGCAGAUAUGAGCCCAUUUUAUGUAUUUACUGCUGUUUCAGAUGCCAAGAAUACUCUAUCCUUUUUCUGUGAGUCUCAGAUCCUAGGUGACUGUGUCACUUGAAACCAAGGUAUUUUUUACUGUUUGCAGAAAUUAGAUCAUAUAAAGAAUGCCUAUAUUUGUUGUUGUUGCUGUUGUUUUACUUAUUUAUCAAAUUGUGGCUGUGAGAUCACUAAUUUUAAAGAUGAUCAACUGAAUGGGUCAAGUUCUUAAAAUUAUUAAGGAUUCAUAAAAAAUAGGGACAGGAGUUUCCUGCUGCCAGGAUAACUUUUUUUUUUUUUUUAAAUCAAUGAACACUGCUUUAAAAAAAAAUGGUGUCAAAGCUAUUUUUUAAAAAUCUAGAUAACUUUUAUGGUUUUUACUAUUUUCAAUAGAAGUUAAAGACGUUAUCCACUUGUACGAGUUGCUUUCUAGAGACUAAAAUAGAGUAGAGCUAGCUUUGUAAUGUGAUGUUUUUUUGGCCAUAUUAUAAUUUGGCUUGGAUUGUGGGUUAAUGUACCAAAAUAACUAAAAUCUCUUGAAUACUUAACUAUUUCAGAAGAGGUCUGUUUUUAAAAAUGUAGUUGCUGCCUUCUUAAAACUACCUCCCAAAAUAAAGUGGCAAGGUCUGUGUUCCUCUUUUAUUUUUGGCAGUUAAAAAAACCAUCAUUAUUUUAAGGCUGCCAGCAGGUAUUCAUCAAUUGAAUAAACAUUGUAUCCUUGUUUUAUCUGAGCUAUUUUAUAUGGAUACUGCGUUUCACUUACACCAUCUAUUGCCUUUAGAAAGCUAUGUUCUCUUUUCCUUAUAAAAUUGUAUUGUCUUUUUACUCAAAAUGUAUUAAUAUUUUUCUGAUUACCAUAUUGGACACCUUGUAGGAGAAUGGUCUUCAAGACUAAUGAGGAGAUUGCUGGGGGGCCCUGGAAGUCCAUCUUGGAUAAAAAGUUUGUAAGAUAAGGCCUAGAAACUCUGAAUAAGCUCAGAUAUCCUGGCUUCAAAGACUAUGUGCACAAACUUGUAAAGGAGACUUUGCUACUCUGGGGGAAGAUACAUGAGACAGGCAAGUGGAGGAAGGAGGGAGAAAGAGGACUGCUAGUUAAUAUAUGCCAUGAUCCAGAAAAAAACGUCAAAUAAUUAAAGGGAGACUAAUUUGUAAGCACAUAAUAGAAAUGGUGUAUGAUUCCUAGGGACUUAACAUGGGCUUACAAAUAACAAAUCAUGACCCCUAAUGAU